rnacentral:rRNA from 1 species
UCCGUGCCGGAGUUAACACAAUAAGUAAUCCACCUGGGGAGUACGACCGCAAGGUUGAAACUCAAAGGAAUUGACGGGGGCCAGCACAAGCAGUGGAGUAUGUGGAUUAACGGAUCAGAAUGCCGCGGUGAAUACGUUCCCGGGUCUUGUACACACCGCCCGUCACACCAUGGGAGUCGGAAAUGCCCGAAGUCAGUGACCUAACCGAAAGGAAGGAGCUGCCGAAGGUGGAGCCGGUAACUGGGGUGAAGUCGUAACAAGGUAAC